CUUACUGAGGUCGUUCAGUGCUUAUCGAUCAAUCCGGCGAACACGCUGAACAGUAGUGUGUACACGUUCCUGUUUAAAACUUGAUCUAUUGCUUUCUUAUCGGGAUGAUGGCAAAAAAUCGGGAGCGCCUUGCAAAAAAUGGAAUCAAAAGCCCAUCGAUGCGGAGGAAUGGAAGAACGGUAGACACUGGAAGUGGAUCAAAGCGUUUCGAGUGUUGGAGCGUACCACGUUCGCCUGGGUGAAGAUGUUGUCAGAGAGCUUGAUGGUUCGCGCAGUAGGCGGCAAACUGCUCCAAAGCAGUAUACUGGUGCUAGACCACAAAGAAUAAAACCGCAAAACACACACACACACCCAAAGAGAGGACAGAAAUGGAGGACUUCACAAUCUCGUCCUUACGGAGAAGACGAUUUCGACGGAGGGCUUGUUAGCGAUGGAAGCAGACCAUCGUAGCUUGCUGGUGAUAUCGCACUGGAAGGAAGGUGUCGAGAGCUGUCAGAUCUGUGGAGGACGCCACAGUAUGGUCUUUGUUAUCAGCUGGGUGUAAAAUUUCGCCCUCUCUUCCUGCCUCACGACACCUGUCAGCCGUCAAACGAACCGGUGUGGACUUGUUUUGCAAUCCAGCCAAAGGCUCCUAACGGCCUUGUCCAGAUCGUUCCAGUUUGAGGUGGCUUGUUGUCGCCCUAGAAUCUUAUCAAUCCUGUCCACUAACUGUGCGGGUGUGUGUGUGUGUGCUUUUGAUGGAGCCAUGCAGGCUUGUUUACGGAGCUGAUUAGAUGCAUCUUUAUUAUCGCGCAAUGUGUUUAUGGUGUUGUUUGAAGGUGAACUACCUGCUUGCCUAAUCACCUUGCUCAACAGGAAGCACAGGUAAGUUUUUUUCCCUUCGCCGUUACGACCUUCUUUAUCCAAAACAAGCUCGAUGUCAAACUAAUGGCAACUGGUGCUGCUGCUCAUUGGCUGAGGGUUCGAGUGGUGUCAAAUCGAUCGAACAAAUCAGUCCUAUACGUUGUCGACGUAUGUACCUACUUACCUGUUCCCUUCGUUCCUAUCGCAUAAUUCAACCAGAUUACACCUGAUCGAUAUGAUGAUCGAUCGGAACAAACAACUCGUAAGGGGUUUAAUGUUUGAUGAGUGAGGGAAUCGAAACUGGUAGACAAAUAGAGUCCCAAAAAUGUACCUUUUCUUUCGCCACGGGUAAGGGUCUGGCUAGUCGGGAUCAGAACGAUAGCUCGUUUUACGAUAAUUACUAUCUAAUUGUUUGGCUAAAGGUCGACUAAAGAUGGCCGGUUGCAUCAAUCAAUCAACGAAUCAAUCAUCUAGCGAGGGGACUAGGCUGUAAUUAAGCUUUCGACAGCGUGAUAUCUACCGUGUAGAUGAUGUAUUUCUUUUUUAAAAAGGCAUGUCAGUCCCUCAGUUGUUGAAUUAGGCUCACAAGCUUCCGCAGUGCAACAAUUAUUGAUGUAUUAAGAAAUUUUGCAACAUCUGUUUGACAAAUUCAACCCUGCUUAUUGGAAGACGUUAUCUUGUUAACCACUUUCUACUUCCUGGUUUUAUGCACGUUUAAAACCACUGUAAACACAUUCAACUCCAAACGAAGCGGUUUGGUCCCCUGGUCCGAUAAACCUGUUCCACGAGAGUUGAACACGAUUCGCCCCGGUUUUAAAAAGGCAAAUAUUAUUGCUCGGCCGGGGCAAAUCCAUUGUCUCCUGUUGCUGUUUGCUUCCCAUUUAAGCGCGACGAUUGUUUUGUCGAGCGAACUGUCUCGAGUGGCGUUACCCCGUUGCGCUAUCAGCCCGUUGUUGGUCGUUGGUUGCAUUAAACAAUUCUACCUUCCUACCUACCUACCGUCCCUGCUUGUUGCAUAAUAGUCUGUUUCAUGGCAGUGGAAAGGGUCGCUGGAAGGGGUAAAACCUGACCUACCUAUCUACCCCGGAUAAUGUUCUCGCCGCGUGGUGGAAGAGCCAGUUGAAGCUUAUCAGUUUUCCCUCGAUGCGGCCAAGGAAGUUGUCCACUGGUGCACUCGAGAUGCUCGAGCACCGUACAGUGUGUGUCUACGUAUGUUUGGUGGUGGUGGUGGUUGGUGUGUAAUCAUCAUGUGGACGACACUCGAGAGUGCUAGUAGUCUCCCGUAUCGGUGUAACACUUGUUUGCCGUCCCGAAGCGUAAACAAACCAAAGUGUUUUCCAACCGAUUACAUGAUGAUAAGUGUAACGAAACGGUGCAUGCCUAAUCCUUUCUUUGCCCUUCCCCCUGACAUGCGGUACGUUGAUCUCUUGUGUACUUUUUUUUACUUUUUGUGGCUGAGAGGAACAAGUUCUACGGUUCUUGGGAUGUAAUACAUAAUUUGUUUAAAUGCUCUUUCAAAUUACUCAAAUUAAGAAUGAUCUCUUAAGAAUUUUGAAAUCUGAUUUCGUUUUUCAUUUUCAGUUCAUUUGCCAUUAUCUUACUAUUUAUUAAAUUGUCUUAAAGCUUUAGUAAUGACUGAUAUUUGUCCUAUAUCGGCUUAGCCUAGAUAAGCCAUUUUCUGGUGGACUUAGUACAUACAAAUUAUCGAAAUUUUUAAAUAUAUAGUGCACAUUAAGAGUCAAACAUCAGCGCAAGGGACACUAUUUACCCACUCCAAACAUUAUAAGUUAAUCCGAGUUAACCAGACAGUGUCUUUCCGAAAUGUUUAUCAUUUUCUCAUAUCCAUAUUCCAUGCUGGCUAUUAUGGCUACCUUAUAAGUUUUCGAAUUUUUUACCGAAAUUUUGAAGAAAAUCUUCAAACGUAAUAUUGAGGAGCCGAUGAUGUGGGCAAGAGGAUAGUGCAAGAUAAUUUCGAGGAUUGGUAUAAU